GACCAGUCCGUCCACAGCCGCACGCCAGAGCGGUCCCCUAGCAUCGGAAUCCUUCGCAAUUGGCAAAGCGUCUGCAAAGCACUGCUUUGCGUGCUCCCUAUGAGGAGUAGGGUGGUGCUGCCGACCUGCCUCCUCGCUCUUCUCUGCCUCUUCGCCGAUGCAGCGAAGAAGAAGGGGGUCACGAUGGUGGUGCGCAUGCUGGACGGGCACGCGUGCAACUUGGGGAACAACGCUCUGACCUGGUCUAAAGUCUGGUUCACCCCCAGGGGAAUGUCGCGCCUUGGCAACGCAGACUUUGGGCUCUCGAGGACGGCCAAGACCAUA